GGCACAUCACAAUGAAGCUAAAUAUACUGCCAUUUUUUUUUUUAAUUAAAGGUUAUAGAAAUUGUAUAUAAUUUUCUCUGCAAGGAGAAAUUGGGUGGAAUUGCUACAGGCUUUGAAGAGAAGUGGUGUCUGAAGUAAGAUUUAAUGUACAUUCUGCGUCUUUCAGGGAAGGAAAUAAGAGAUCUGACUAAGUAACUUGAUGGAUGCAAUGAAAACACAACAUCUACAAGUGAUUAAAUGAAAUCUUAUUUCAUGCACUACUCAAGAAUCUCUGUGGAAGAUUGCUGCAGAGCCAGCAGAGGUGUAGAACAGAUUUUGGGGUCUGUGCUGUCUUUUGGGCAAGGCUAAUC
rnacentral:lncRNA from 1 species